UGCUCGCCUCCUCGGUACGGCCAAGGAAACGACGGCCGCGGAACCGCCAUUAAAGCUCCACCUCCACACCUCUCGGACGCGAGCUGGAUAGGGAUGGGGAGGGGGAAGAUAGUGAUCAGGAGGAUCGACAACACGACGAGCCGGCAGGUGACUUUCUCGAAGCGGAGGAAUGGAUUGCUGAAGAAGGCGAAGGAGCUCUCGAUCCUGUGCGACGCCGAGGUCGGGGUCGUCGUCUUCUCCAGCACCGGCAAGCUCUACGACUUCGCCAGCUCCAGCGUGAACCAGGUAAUUGAAAGGUAUGGCAAAUUAAAAGAAGAGAUCGAUCAACCUGGGAACCCGAUGGCUGAACUUAAGUAUUGGCAAAGGGAAGCAGCAAUAUUGAGGCAACAACUGCAGCAACUCCGAGAAAAUCAUCGGCAAAUGAUGGGAGAAGAACUCUCAGGCUUGGGCAUCAAAGAUUUGCGGAAUUUGGAGAACCAAUUGGAGAUAAGUCUCCGUGGCGUCCGCACAAAAAAGGACCAAGUUUUAAUGGAAGAAAUACAAGAGCUGAACAGAAAGGGAAACCUCCUUCACCAGGAAAAUUUGGAAUUGCACAAGAAAGAAAGUCUAUUUAAACAAGAGAAUGUGGAAUUGUACAAGAAGGUUUAUGGCACAAGAGAUGCAAAUAACGUAAAUGGAGCACGCACAAGUCUUCUACCAAAUGGACCGAACAUUGAUGAAGAUGCUCAAGUACCUAUCCAUCUCCAACUAAGCCAGCCGCAUUAUCAGAACUGUGAGACAUCAUCAAGAACUACAAACUUACGAUUGCAGCUGCAUUAGCAAACCGGGUGCAACGAAUGUAGAAGGACAUUAUUGAGUCUCCAUCGAGGGACCAUGCAAACAAAGGACAACUGGGAAGAUGCUAGAGACUCUGAACGUACUAUCCAACUGGAGAUGAAGCACAUGCCUCAACUAAAAUAGCUAAUGACCCAACUGCAAUCCAGAUGGAUAACUUUAAAGUUGAUGUAAUCUAACAGGUGUAGUGGAUGUUUCUGGGUUGAAUAUUAAACUUCGAUCUCAGAAACAAAAUGAAAUCAACAAUCUACACCAGAAUUGUGCGAA